rnacentral:rRNA from 1 species
CCCUUAGAUGUUCUGGGCCGCACGCGCGCUACAAUGAUGAAUUCAACGAGCUUAUAACCUUGGUUGAAAAGCCUGGGUAAUCUUUUGAACUUUCGUCGUGAUGGGGCUAGACCCUUGCAAUUAUUGGUCUCCAACGAGGAAUUCCUAGUAAACGCAAGUCAUCAGCUUGCAUUGAUUACGUCCCUGCCCUUUGUACACACCGCCCGUCGCACCUACCGAUUGAAUGGUCCGGUGAAAUCUUCGGAUUGAGACUUUGAUUUGUUUACUCAAAACGCUGUUUCAAGAAGUUGAUUAAACCUUACCAUUUAGAGGAAGGUGAAGUCGUAACA